GGUUUAUAAACAAUGCAUCUCAUUUCUGUGAUCGAAAAUAUAAAAAAAAGAGAAAAAAAGCCGAAGCCAGCGACAUCGCUCGAAUUUAUUCAAUCUUGGCGACAAGACUGAGUGUUUGCAGAACCAUAGGAGUAUCGUUGGAAAGAGACGAAGGCAGGGUAAUGGCUUAAACACACGAAUUGUAUUUAGGAAGACGUGCCGGCCAAACUAUUGCAAGUUUGACUGUUCAGCAUAAUGUUAGAACAACAAACUCUUCACCUAUGCACGGUCAUCAGCCCCCGCCAGGUCCUGGCCUGUCAUUUGUGUCACAAGGAAGUACCACACCUGGUCAUGUGUCAGGAAUUGGAGAGAUAACAUCUUACUAAGAAGUAAAUUGAAGGCAGCCAACAAUUGGACGGUGGUGCCAGUCAAUGAAAAGAAGGGAUACACGUACAUGCACUGAGUACACAGAGAUCAUCAAGGAAAAAACCCUUCGAUCAAAGUUCCUUUUUGAUUCAGCUUAUCCAAAGCUGAUUGCCUCUACAAUUGCCCCUUAUAUAUCCACCUGCGGCUAAUGAGGAGCUGCAAUAUCCAAUAGGUCAAGGGCAAGCAACCCGGAAACAAUAUGAAGAUUUACUCAUACAAAUUGGUACAUGGUGUAUGUAACUAUGUUGUUUUAACUAACUUCAACAUACCAUCAUUAUGAAUUAAAAAAUUGACAAAGCUGAAAUCAAUGAUAACUGACUAUGGGUAGGAACAUGUUGUGUGAAUUUGGCAGCAUGGUUUUAUAGGAUGUAUACCAUUGAGUAUGAAAGUGCAUGUGUGACCCUGGUUGUUUUUUCAGUCAGUAGAUGACUUUAGUAUUUGAAAUUAUGCUUGAAUUUAUUUGUGUAAUAUGAAGGCGUGACCAAAUGUGUGACAUUAUUGUCGACUGUGCUGUCAUCAUCAUGGUGAUAAAAUGUGAUUUUAAUAAGUGAACUGCUUAUAAACAUAGGGCAGAAAUACCAUUGAUAAAAUACUGACGAACAUAGCAUACAAGUGCCCUGAAAUGCCAUGAGAAUAUGUAUUUGAGUUUUAAGUGUGUAAGGUAUUGUGAAUUUUGUUAAUUGUUUUGUUAUAAAACAAGGGCUGUUUGUAAAACAUGCAUGCCCCCCAUAUGGGCUCUCAGUUGUACUGACAGCCAUUUUGUAAAUAUGUUUUUGUCACUGUGACCUUGACCUUUGACCUAGUGACCUGAAAAUCAAUAGGGGUCAUCUGCGAGUCAUGAUCAAUGUACCUAUGAAGUUUCAUGAUCCUAGCCAUAAGCUUUCUUGAGUUAUCAUCAGGAAACCAUUUUACUAUUUCGGGUCACUGACCUGGACCUUUGACCUAGUGACCUGAAAAUCAAUAGGGGUUAUCUGCCAGUCGUGAUCAAUGUACCUAUCAAGUUUCAUGAUCCUAGGCAUAAGCGUUAUUGAGUUAUUAUCCGGAAACCAUUUUACUAUUUCGGGUCACAGUGACCUUGACCUUUGAUCUAGUGACCUCAAAAUCAAUAGGGGUCAUCUGCGAGUUAUGAUCAAUGUACCUAUCAAGUUUCAUGAUCCUAGGCAUAAGCGUUCUUGAGUUAUCAUCCGGAAACCAUUUUACUAUUUCGGGUCACCGUGACCUUGACCUUUGACCUAGUGACCUGAAAAUUAAUAGAGGUCAUCUGCUAGUCAUGAUCAAUCUACCUAUUAAGUUUCAUGAUCCUAGGCAUAAGCGUUCUUGAGUUAUCAUCCAAAAAACAUUUUACUAUUUCGGGUCACCGUGACCUUUGACCUAGUGACCUCAAAAUCAAUAGGGGUCAUCUGCGAGUCAUGAUCAAUGUACCUAUGAAGUUACAUGAUCCUAGGCCCAAGCGUUCUUGAGUUAUUGUCUGACAACCACCUGGUGGACGGACCGACCGACAGACCGACCGACAUGAGCAAAGCAAUAUACUCCCUCUUCUUCGAAGGGGGGCAUAAAUAUAGGAUCCAAAGUAUUCAAUCAUAGAUCACUCUGAAAAAGAAGAAUAAGUAAAAACCUUGUCUGGCAAAUAACUACAUAAACAAUGGGCCAAGUUCCAGAUUUUUUUGUCACAAGUCAAGACCAUUAACAGGAAUUGUUGACUCUUAUAGGUGUUAUGUAUCAUGAUCUGUGUUAAGUUUUUUAUGGGAGACCCAUGAUCAAACAUGGUGAAUUAAUUGUUUUGUUAUUACAAUAGAGGAUCCAAAGUAUUUGAUCAUAGGUCACUCUGAAACAGAAGAAUUUGUGAAAACCUUGUGUGGCAAAUAGCUAAAUAAACACUGGGCUCAGCAUUUUCCUGAUUUUUUGUCACAAGUAAAGACUAUGAAAAGAAAUUACUAUUAACUCUUUUAGGUAUAAGCUACCAUAGUCAAUGUUGAGUGCAUGCUGCACACCACAUUUGUUUAUGUUCCAUUAACAAUGACAUCAAAGCACAAUGCUAUAUAUAGAUUAUGUAUUGUUUUCCAUUGUUUAUCAGUCUAUAAACAACCAUUUAUUGUAAUAGCCUUACAUAAACUGUCAUAAAGAUGAUAAAGUGCUGUUUAUCCAUUCCCAUAAAAAAUUGGUGGAAUUCAGAAAUAAUUUGAUCUGUCAAAUGUUAAAAGUUGGAAAGAUUUAUUCAAAAUGUUAUCAAUUAUAGUUUUGUUUCAUGAAUAUAGAGUAUUAUGUUUUGUGUUCAUUAUGUUAUGGAUUUUGUUGUUUUGGUUUAAAAUGUUUUAAUAAAUAACAUGAAGAAAUAAGA